ACACCCAAUGAUAUAUUUGAAGAGUUCGAAAGAACACAAAAGAUUAGAAACACAUAAACAUCAAACAUUUGGACCAUGCUAGCUAAUGCAAUUCACAGUCUUAGGAUGUUGCCUUAAGUUUUAACAGCUUGCAACAUGGAGACCAUAACUCUUGGGAUAAAAGGAUAGGCAUGAAAAUAAGCGUCCUAGAGGAGAAGCAGACAACGAUAUGAUUUAAUUUGCUGCUAUGCUGAAUUUCUGAUGACUUGAAGCAGGGUUUCUACUCAUCAAUCAACUAGGUUGCUCCGAAAUAAAUUCUCCUUGUGAAAUUCUGUUUCCAUGAGGAUGUCAGAAAGUUAGAGUUUCAGGUGUGAUUUCUAUUUUAUCUAUUUUGUUUUCCUUUAGUUUCUUUAUUUAUACUUCUUCAAUUAAGGAUAUGAUAUUGUAUAGUGAUUUAAAACCGUGUCAGAGCUGUUAUAAUACGCCAAACUGACUAUAGAAAGGAAUUGUGUAUGGCUGAAUAUAUCAAGCAGUUUAGGCAGAGAAUCCUAAAAGGGAGUUUAACUACUUGGUUGAACUUGAACUUGAUUACUCAAAAUAAAUGAUUUUUGCAAUUCUCUACUUAGUAUCAUGUAUCAUGAUGCCUGUGAGUGAGAAAAAAAUAGAUAUAGAGGGCUUAAGUUCUGCAACUGACUAAUUUGAAGCAUUUACUGAAAAUUUUCAUUGGGGAAAGCUACCUGCAAUUGUUUUUCUAGUACUCUCAUUGUAAGUAUUUUAAGGAUUUUAGAACUUAAACUCAUUUGACCCAUUAUAUUCAUGUACUUACAAAUAUGGAGUUAGCAAACUGUUAUAUUUCUCUUUUAUUGUGAAGCCAAAAGGUUCAUAUGUGCAAAUCAUGAAGGUUGGCGGGACGGCCACUUGGGGAACAUGUGGUGACCGAUGAGUAGAACUUGAAAAUUUUGGCAGUGAUAUGAUUUGGAGUUUUUUUUUUUUUUCAGGUUCCUGUAUAUAUAAAGUAUUUCCGGCCAUAAAAAAUUAUUUAGGACUACUGUGUUAGUGCCCAUGGUAUCCUCUGUGGAAAAAAACUUGGUAUUUUAGCUGCGCAAUGGUACUUUGAGAGAUAUUCUCAUUGUUUUGGAGAGGUUAUUCUACGUGUUUUCUCUCUUAAUUAGACUUUAUUCAAAUCACAUCUGAAAAGUAUUAUGUUCCCUCAUCUUAAAAAUAACC